rnacentral:rRNA from 1 species
CCUACGGGAGGCAGCAGUGGGGAAUAUUGGUCAAUGGGCGCAAGCCUGACCCAGCAACGCCGCGUGAAGGAAGAAGGCUUUCGGGGUGUAAACUUCUUUUUUCAGGGAAGAGUAGAAGACGGUACCUGACGCAUAAGCCACGGCUAACUACGUGCCAGCAGCCGCGGUAAUACGUAGGUGGCAAGCGUUGUCCGGAUUUACUGGGUGGAAAGGGCGUGUAGCCGGGUUGACAAGUCAGAGGUGAAAUCCUGCGGCUUAACCGCAGAACUGCAUUUGAAACUGUUGUUCUUGAGUACUGGAGAGGCAGACGGAAGUCGUGGUGUAGCGGUGAAAUGCGUAGAUAUUAGGAGGAACACCAGUGGCGAAGGCGGUCUGCUGGACAGCAACUGACGGUGAGGCGCGAAAGCGUGGGGAGCAAACAGGAUUAGAUACCCUUGUAGUC